UUUAGUUGUGCUUAGAUAAGAAGAACGAAACCUGAGAAGUCCUUGAACGAUAGAAUGUAAACAUCCCUAAGAAAUUAAAACUUAAAACUUCCAAGGAUUAGAAAUCUGUACGUGUGAUUUAUCGAAAUUCCUCAAGAAAUUAAAAAUACAAAGGCAUCGAAAUCCGAAACAACAAUGAUCAUGAAAUGAAAUGCAGAUUGUAUCGACAAUGACACACACCAUACGUUCUUGUAAGUUAAAUUAAAUACGUUAAAUAAAAGUUAAAUUAAAUAAGUUAAAUAAAAUAAAUAAAAAAAAUAUAUAUAUUAUUUAAAAGAGAAAUUUGGAUAGUGUAGAAUUAUGUUCCUUUGUUGAGAAUCUUCUUCAAAUCUUCAAAAUGCAAACAAGGUUAAAUUUGCAAUUUUUCGUUUGGAGGUAGAUUGUGUGUUAUAUUCUACAAUAUUAUAAUAAUGAUUAUUUUAUAAAAGUGUAAUGUGAUAAAGGUGUAGAAAAAUGGUAGAAAUUAUAAUUUUUAAGUUGAUAAUGUGAUAAUAAAAUAUUUUAUUGUGACAAUAAGAUUAUUUAUAAUAAUAAAAUUUCAAAAGUAACUAAAGAUGAGUUGUGCGUGAUAAAAUAUGUAUGAUAUUGAAAUAAAUAAAAUAUUUCAUGCUUAAUAAUAGUAUUCAAGCAGUGGAUCAGCUUCUGUGAAUACCUAAUAUAAAUAGGGUUACCAAUCGUUACUAUCAGCAACAUCGUCAUAUUUGUCAUCACUUUCAUGCCUUAAUACAGAAAAUAAGACAUCCCUGACUUUUGGCUUGGGAUCUUUGGUAAUUUUCGUUGGUACAGCUUCUGCCUGUCCUAACAUCCAUUCCAGUUCUAUAAUAAUACAUACAAUAAGUUUAUAUGAAUGCCAAUAGAAUCGAGACAAAUUACCAGAACAGAUUUUUCAUUAAAUUUCCAAUUAUACAUACCUGCUUCAGUUAAUUUCAUGCCUCUUAAUUCCAUUGGGCCAAUAAUUUGUUUUAUCAUAUUCCCAUUGUGGUAGAUAAAAAUUGUUGGAAGAUUGCUAUCAGGCCAGUUGGGAAUGCAAGUGGUAGAAA